CCUUGGUUCGAAUUCUGCUGGAACAGGAAGUGCUACAACCCAAUUAACAGUAACAGGAGGUAAGUACCAUUUGAUAUCUUCACAUGUGUUCGCCUUUAGAUUCGUUUUUGUUUAUGCUAUAACGUAUAGAGAUAUCCACAAUAAAGACAAUGCCUUUCCUCUUUUGCAUGCAGUUAAUAGCAUGUGGAUAUUAUGAUACUUAUUGAAUAGAUUUGCAGCUGGUUGUGAUUUUGUGUGACCCCUAUAUUAAAAUUUCUUUUCCUGCCCUCGCAGGUGUAUCAUCAAAGUUUGUGGAUUAUGCGUGUUUUUAAAGCAUCUCAAGUUAACUCAUUUAAUGUCAUCCAUAAUAUUUUGAUGAGUUUUGCUGAGAUUUAAAAUUGUUUUUUCGGGAAAAUAUCAAUGUAUAUUAACUAAAUGUUUUAAACUUGAGUGCAUAGAACAACAGAAAUAUCUAAGAAUUGAAUGUAUAUUUAGCUACAUAUAUGCUUGAAAAUUGAAUGUAUAUAACUACAUAAAUAAUGUAUAUUACUACAUAAAUGUUUGAAAAUUUAGUGCAGGUUAAUUCAAUAUGUUUUGCUUUUCCUGCAUUUGAAAUAUCUCUGUCCAAAAGUAUAGAUUCAUUUCAAGAUGUACUAAUCAUGUGUUGCUUAAUAUUUCCACGUGAAUUUCUGCUUAAUUACUAAACGGAUUUUUAAUGAAUAAUCUGUAACCCUAUUGAUAUCUUCAAUAUUUACUGAACACAAAACACAAACACACAAUUAAACAAUGUCAUACUACAGGGACAUAUGCACUGACGAACAGAUAUAUAACAUUGAACCUUUAUCCUUAUGUUAACUCAUUAUGGUGUGCUAUUAUUCAUAGAUUGUGUUUAAUGUUUUUUUGUAUGUUUAACUGUACCGAUGAUGAUAUAUCUGUAUUUUUCUGCAACAUGUUUGGUUGCUUCCCGACCUUGUUUGUAGGUGUUAGUCAAAGGUAAGGUCUUUUUCAAUUGUAUUGUUGAACAAUAAUGCACGCAAGUCAUUAUUUUGUAUGGCAUUGUAAUGUAUGAAAAAAAUUAACAUAAAAGGGCGUUGUACAGUAUAUAAGCUGUUGGAUGACAUUUGCAUUUCCUGUUUUGAUUUCAAUCGAACUACAUUAAUGUGAUAAUAUACUUUAUGAAUUUAUCGUAGAAAAUGUAAUUGUUAAGAAAAUAAUAGGUUGAUUUAAAGCAAUGAAUAAAUGACUCAUUCAAGUAGGAAGAUUUAUAUGAUGUUGUUGUGACGUGAAAAUGAACUUAAUCUAUUGAUCAAUUUUUGUAAUUUGUCUCAAAGGAAUUAUCAUUUCGAUCAAAGUUGGAAUACGUUCUGUCGAACGUUUGGAAUGUUCCCGAAUCUAAGACAAGAAUAAGCAACAACGAUGUCACCAUACAUCCACGUUUAUUCCCGCUCAUCCGGGCACUAUCGCCUCAUAGUAAUCCGUAUGUAGCCAACAAGGUUCCAGUAUUACAUCUUGUAACGUACUAGUAACGAGCGAAGAUGGCUGCUGCCGGAGAAAUGUUUGGAUCGUUUGGACUCUGUUUAUGACGGUCAUUUACAUAAUACCAAACUUCGACAAACUUUCAACACUUGAUCCGGAAUACGAUGAACAAUUUGAUCGUUUCUAUCUGGAGAUGAAGAAAGAAAUCAAUGUGAUGAAAAGACGUCGCAUAUCGCCAUAGGAUGCAAGGAUACAAGCAUAGAGACAGUGUAGUAGUCAUUCAUAAGGUCUUGAUUGGCCUUGUAUUGCACCCUGUGCGGAUGGCAGUGACAACCUGGCAAAUUUGGCAAACAUCAAUGACUUUACCGUCCGUCCAUGAUUAUGACAAAGGGAAGCUGAUUGUUUAGAAAGUCUAAGUUGAACUGACCAAAAUCAAGAUGAUACUGAAAAGCUUUCAGAUGGACUAUUGUAUAACAGUAAAGUUACACAUACUUGAUAUUUGAAUUAGCUGGUUUUAUAAAUAAUCACUUUGUGAGAAAUAAAAUUAUAGUCCACUGUCA